rnacentral:rRNA from 1 species
GUAGGUGGCAAGCGUUGUCCGGAAUUAUUGGGCGUAAAGCGCGCGCAGGUGGGGUCUUUAAGUCUGAUGUGAAAGCCCCCGGGCUCAACCGGGGAGGGUCAUUGGAAACUGGGGAACUUGAGUGCAGGAGAGGAAAGUGGAAUUCCACGUGUAGCGGUGAAAUGCGUAGAUAUGUGGAGGAACACCAGUGGCGAAGGCGACUUUCUGGCCUGUAACUGACACUGAGGCGCGAAAGCGUGGGGAGCAAACAGGAUUAGAUACCCUGGUAGUCCACGCCGUAAACGAUGAGUGCUAAGUGUUGGGGGGGUUUCCGCCCCUCAGUGCUGCAGCUAACGCAUUAAGCACUCCGCCUGGGGAGUACGGUCGCAAGACUG